rnacentral:tRNA from 1 species
GGCACUUUGGCCGAGCGGUCUAAGGCGCUGUGUUCAGGUCUCCAACCCGUCAGGGCUGAUUUAUUCGCAGUCUAGUAAUAGGCGAGGGUUCGAAUCCCUCAGGUGUCA